UUUUGUCAUUUCUUUGACUAAUAUUUCUUAGUAAACAUCAAGGUAAAUACCAAACUAAAUACAAAUUUAAUUAUUAAAGAUACAAAAUAGAGGAGCCGAUAACUAGAGGAAUAUAUUCCAUCAUCUGCACAUGCGAAUAAAUUAUAAUAUAACAUAACCUAACUUUAAAUUCGGUUUUAAUUUUUCGAAUACUUUUCACUUUUCUCAAACUACUCGGAAUCUGAAUCUUUUUUGUCCUAAUUUUAAGAUGCCGGUAUUGUGUUUUGAAUGUGAAAAAUUUUUUUGAAACCAGUUUAACUUAAACAUUUAAGAAACAUUCAUGAUAAAUCAUCCAAAUGGAUUGAAUAUGGAAGUGAAACAAAAUAUACGUGUGUGGAAUGCAGUCUCUUUUUUAAAUUUAAUGGAGACUUGAGAAGUCAUCUGGAGCACAAACACAAUUUAAAAAAUAAUAUAGUACAUUUACCGUUUCCAAGUUUUGAUGAAUUCAACCAAUGGCUUUGUGAAGAACAAAAAGUCAACAAUGUCCAGUAUAUCCGAAAUUCUGGGAAAAAAGUUCAGAGCAAUUAUGAACAUGUUUAUUUUGAAUGCAAACGCUUCUACAAGAAAUAAAAUUUAGUAUCAUUUCAAAAUCGGAAACGGAAAGUCACGGGGAUCUUGUAAGUUAAAUAAAUCAUUUGUCGUCAAAAGAAACCUAGAGUCAGACCAUUGUGAUAUUACAUAUAAUAAAUCACAUUAUUUACAUGGAUCAGAUGAAAUACAACAUUUACAAAUUACAAAAAGUGAUAAGGAGAUGAUUGCUUCCAAACUAAUUUUAGGGGUUCCAUCUAAAGGGAUAUAUAAGAAAUAUUCAGCGGACAUAUAAUAUGCAUUUGAAAGAUGGAUUAUACCACAAAGAUGAUGCGACCAGUGUUAAUAUUUGGGUCAAACAAUCUGCUGAAGCUGAGGAUAAUCCAGUGCUUUUUUACAAAUAGCACGGACAGUCAAUUGUGAACUUUGAACCAAGUGACUUUUGUAUGACAAUAUGACAAAGUUUGGGAGUCAAGUUAUCACAAUAGAUGGAACACAUGGGCUAAAUGCCUAUGACUUUGAACUUAAGACUUUGUUGACAUUAGAUGAGUUUAGACAGAGUUAUUCAGUUGCUUUUAUGUUCACAAAUCGUAAAGAUACUUCUGUUUAUCAGUUUUUUUUCUCUAAAGUGAAAGACGUUGUUGGUCUGAUUAAAAAUACAGUUUUCAUAUCUGAUAUCACUCUUACAUACUAUAUGGCUUGAUACCAAAUAAUGGGACCACCAAAACAUAGACUAUUAUGCUCCUGGCAUGUUGAUAGAUCAUGGCAGACAAACCUCGCAAAAAUAAAUAAUUCUGAGAAAAAAUCUUGGAUAUAUAAAACACUUAAACACAUACAGACUAUAUCAGACAUUGAAGUAUUUCAAAGAAAAGUUAUCAAAUUCACUCAGACUCUCAAUGAGGAUCAAGAAACAAAAAAAUUUGGUGAUUAUUUGGAAAAAUAUUGUAUACCAAUAUCUGAGCAGUGGGCUUAUUGCUACAGAAGUGGAUGCGGUUUGAACACUAACAUGCACUUGGAGAGCUUCCAUAAAACCAUUAAAUAUCAUUACUUAACUGGAAAAAAGAUAAAAAUAUUGGAUAAAUCAAUUCAUCAGUUAGUGUCUUACUUACGGGACAAAUCUGUGGACAGAAUAAUAAAAUUGAAAAAGGGAACGAACUUGAAAAACAACACACAUUCAAGUGUAGCUGCAUUGAUUUUUGCAUAAGAACAACUAUAUGCAAGCAUAUCCACUACGUAGCUAUAAACAGUGAGCAGCAAAAUAAUAAUAAUAUACCACUGGUCACCAGCCAGAUCAUAUAUAAUGAAAAUACUAAAAAAGUUCAGGAUUUGAAAUCACAGUUGUUUGUUAAGAAAGAAAGCAUUAAGGAAAAAAUAAGAAGUAAUAUUUUUGAAAUGCUGCAAAUGCUUGAUUGUCAAAAUUUUAGCGAUGAACAACUUGAUCUCUGGUUACAGCAUACUAAAACAUGCCUGACUUUAUGCUCUGAAGACGAUGAAAAUAAAAAUAAAUUUUUGGUAAAGGAGGAAAAUAUGAAACAACCAGCUAAUACAAAUAUCACAAAACAGAAGUCGUUCCAUUCAACUAAGAAGAAAGGUAACCAAAAGAACACUGCAGAAAUAUUGUUAAUUUUUACUUUGAUGGAGGUAUAGAAGCAUUUUGUUUAUACCUAUUCCUAUAUAUAUGUAUGUAUAUCGAUAUUUAUAUUAAAAUUUUUCUUUCAAA